rnacentral:rRNA from 1 species
UGGGGAAUAUUGCACAAUGGGCGCAAGCCUGAUGCAGCCAUGCCGCGUGUGUGAAGAAGGCCUUCGGGUUGUAAAGCACUUUCAGCGGGGAGGAAGGCGAUAAGGUUAAUAACCUUGUCGAUUGACGUUACCCGCAGAAGAAGCACCGGCUAACUCCGUGCCAGCAGCCGCGGUAAUACGGAGGGUGCAAGCGUUAAUCGGAAUUACUGGGCGUAAAGCGCACGCAGGCGGUCUGUCAAGUCGGAUGUGAAAUCCCCGGGCUCAACCUGGGAACUGCAUUCGAAACUGGCAGGCUAGAGUCUUGGAGAGGGGGGUAGAAUUCCAGGUGUAGCGGUGAAAUGCGUAGAGAGCUGGAGGAAUACCGGUGGCGAAGGCGGCCCCCUGGACAAAGACUGACGCUCAGGUGCGAAAGAGUGGGGAGCAAACAGG